GACGAACGCUGGCGGCGUGCUUAACACAUGCAAGUCGAACGGAAAGGCCCUGCACUUGUGGGGUGCUCGAGUGGCGAACGGGUGAGUAACACGUGAGUAACCUGCCCUUGACUUUGGGAUAACUUCAGGAAACUGGGGCUAAUACCGGAUAUGAGCUCCUGCUGCAUGGUGGGGGUUGGAAAGUUUCGGCGGUUGGGGAUGGACUCGCGGCUUAUCAGCUUGUUGGUGGGGUAGUGGCUUACCAAGGCUUUGACGGGUAGCCGGCCUGGGAGGGUGACCGGCCACAUUGGGACUGAGAUACGGGCCAGACUCCUACGUGAGGCAGAAGUGGGGAAUAUUGCACAAUGGGCGGAAGCCUGAUGCAGCAACGUCGCGUGCGGGAUGACGGCCUUCGGGUUGUAAACCGCUUUCGCCUGUGACGAAGCGUGAGUGACGGUAAUGGGUAAAGAAGCACCGGCUAACUACGUG
rnacentral:rRNA from 1 species